rnacentral:rRNA from 2 species
UGGGGAAUAUUGCGCAAUGGGGGAAACCCUGACGCAGCGACGCCGCGUGAGCGAAGAAGGCCUUAGGGUUGUAAAGCUCUGUUUUAGGGGACGAAUGUCCAUGUGAGUAACAUGCGCGUGGAAUGACGGUACCCUAAGAGGAAGCCCCGGCUAACUACGUGCCAGCAGCCGCGGUAAGACGUAGGGGGCGAGCGUUGUCCGGAAUUACUGGGCGUAAAGAGCACGUAGGCGGGAACUUAAGUCAGGUGUGAAAGACCGGGGCUCAACUCCGGGGUUGCACUUGAAACUGGGUUUCUUGAGGGCAGGAGAGGAAAGCAGAAUUCCUGGUGUAGCGGUGAAAUGCGUAGAAAUCAGGAGGAAUACCAGUGGCGAAGGCGGCUUUCUGGACUGACCCUGACGCUGAGGUGCGAAAGCGUGGGUAGCAAACAGG